rnacentral:rRNA from 1 species
UACGAAGGGUGCAAGCGUUAAUCGGAAUUAUUGGGCAUAAAGGGUGCGUAGGCGGUUUGUUAAGUCACUGGUGAAAGUUUUCGGCCCAACCGGAAAAUUGCCUGUGAUACUGGCGAACUUGAGUGCGUGAGGGGUGGGGGGAACGAGCAGUGUAGCGGUGAAAUGCGUAGAUAUGCGGAGGAACACCGAUGGCGAAGGCAAUCCCCUGGGCCUGCACUGACGCUCAUGCACGAAAGCGUGGGGAGCAAACAGG